rnacentral:rRNA from 1 species
UACGAAGGGUGCAAGCGUUACUCGGAAUUACUGGGCGUAAAGCGUGCGUAGGUGGUUUGUUAAGUCUGAUGUGAAAGCCCUGGGCUCAACCUGGGAAUUGCAUUGGAUACUGGCAGGCUAGAGUGCGGUAGAGGAUGGCGGAAUUCCCGGUGUAGCAGUGAAAUGCGUAGAGAUCGGGAGGAACACCUGAGAUGUAGAUGGCUUACUGGACCGUAACUGACGCUGAGGCACGAAAGCGUGGGUAGCAAACAGG